UUUCAGAAAUGAUGAUGUCAUAGCCCUACCUUUGUAACCUCAGCCGCUCAUAAUAAAUGACAUGUUGUUGUUAAAUAUGUAAAUUAACAUACUUU